rnacentral:ribozyme from 1 species
UGCCCAGCAACUCCUAUCCCUACCUCCUCGCGGUACUGUCCGGGGUACGAGUAACCUUAGGGAAGAUCGGGUAACCAACCCCAGUAGGAUCUCUGAUCGUAUGCUGACAGAGAAGG